rnacentral:snRNA from 1 species
AGCUUUGCACAGUGGCAAUAUCAUAGCCAGUGAGGUUUAUCCGAGGCGUGAUUAUUGCUAAUUGAAAACUUUUCCCAAUACCCCGCCGUGAAGACUUGAAAUAUAGUCGGCAUUGGCAAUUUUUGACAGUCUCUACGGAGA